UACGAAGGGGGCGAGCGUUGUUCGGAUUUACUGGGCGUAAAGGGCGCGUAGGCGGCGCUUCGAGUCGCGUGUGAAAGCCCCGGGCUCAACCUGGGAGGUGCGCGCGAUACUGGGGUGCUGGAGUUCGGGAGAGGAGCGUGGAAUUCCCAGUGUAGAGGUGAAAUUCGUAGAUAUUGGGAAGAACACCGGGUGGCGAAGGCGGC
rnacentral:rRNA from 1 species